rnacentral:misc_RNA from 1 species
GAUGAAGAACGCAGCGAAAUGCGAUAAGUAAUGUGAAUUGCAGAAUUCAGUGAAUCAUCGAGUCUUUGAACGCACAUUGCGCCCCCUGGUAUUCCGGGGGGCAUGCCUGUCCGAGCGUCAUUGCUGCCCUCAAGCACGGCUUGUGUGUUGGGCCCCCGUCCCCGGUUUCCCCCGGGGACGGGCCCGAAAGGCAGCGGCGGCACCGUGUCCGGUCCUCGAGCGUAUGGGGCUUUGUCACCCGCUCUGUAGGCCCGGCCGGCGCCAGCCGACACCCAACUUUAUUUCUAAGGUUGACCUCGGAUCAGGUAGGGAUACCCGCUGAACUUAAGCAUAUCAAUAAGCGGAGGA